GACGAACGCUGGCGGCGUGCCUAAUACAUGCAAGUCGAGCGGGCCUCCGGAGGUGCUUGCACCUCCGGAAGGCCAGCGGCGGACGGGUGAGUAUCACGUGGGCAACCUGCCUUUGAGGCCGGGAUAACACCGGGAAACCGGUGCUAAUACCGGCUGCGUCCUCUUUCGUGCCUCCGAUAGGGGAGAAAGACGGUCUUCGGGCCGUCGCGCAAAGACGGGCCCGCGGCGCAGUAGCUGGUUGGUGGGGUAAGGGCCUACCAAGGCGACGAUGCGUUGCCGACCUGAGAGGGUGAUCGGCCACACUGGGACUGAGACACGGCCCAGACUCCUGCGGGAGGCAGCAGUAGGGAAUCAUCCGCAAUGGGCGAAAGCCUGACGGUGCAACGCCGCGUGAGUGAGGAAGGUUUUCGGAUCGUAAAGCUCUGUUGUGAGGGAAGAACAGCUUCCGGAGGAAAUGCCGGAGGUUUGCUGGUACCUCACCAGAAAGCCCCGGCUAACUACGUGCCAGCAGCCGCGGUAA
rnacentral:rRNA from 1 species